GCGGGACAACGGAUGGCCGCUCUUACGAAAGCAAGGGAGGAAAGUCCGGGCACCGCAAGGCAGGAUGCUGGAUAACGUCCAGGCGCAGAAAUGCGACGGAAAGCGCAGCAGAAAACAAACCGCCUUUUUGAAGUUCGCUUCAAAGGCAAGGGUGAAAUGGCGAGGUAAGAGCUCACCGCAUUUCUGGAGACAGAAAUGGCACGGCAAGCCCCAUCCGGUGCAAGACCAAGCAGAAUUCCGCUCCGAUUACGGAGCCUGGGUAGCCUUUUCCAGUCGGAAUUCGGGUAGGUUGCUCGAGGCCGUCAGCAAUGGCGUGCCCAGAUAGAUGGUCAUCGCCGACUCUAUGCCGGCACAGAACCCGGCUUAUAGUUGUCCCUAUUAU
rfam:Fibrobacter sp. TWOS genome assembly, contig: Ga0136287_122